UACGUAGGGUGCAAGCGUUGUCCGGAAUUAUUGGGCGUAAAGAGCUCGUAGGCGGUUUGUCGCGUCUGCCGUGAAAGUCCGGGGCUCAACUCCGGAUCUGCGGUGGGUACGGGCAGACUAGAGUGAUGUAGGGGGAGACUGGAAUUCCUGGUGUAGCGGUGAAAUGCGCAGAUAUCAGGAGGAACACCGGUGGCGAAGGCGGAUCUCUGGGCCAUUACUGACGCUGAGGAGCGAAAGCGUGGGGAGCGAACAGG
rnacentral:rRNA from 1 species